rnacentral:rRNA from 1 species
CCUACGGGAGGCAGCAGUGGGGGAUAUUGCACAAUGGGGGGAACCCUGAUGUAGCGACGCCGCGUGGGCGAUGGAGUGCUUCGGCUUGUAAAGCCCUAUCGGCAGGGAAGAAAAUGACGGUACCUGACUAAGAAGCCCCGGCUAAAUCCGUGCCAGCAGCCGCGGUAAUACGUAUGGUGCAAGCGUUAUCCGGAUUUACUGGGUGUAAAGAGAGCGUAGGCGGCCUGGCAAGCCGGAUGUGAAAUACCGGGGCCCAACCCCGGGGCUGCAUUGGGAACUGCCAGGCUGGAGUGCCGGAGAGGCAGGCGGAAUUCCUAGUGUAGGGGUGAAAUGCGUAGAUAUUAGGAGGAAUACCAGUGGCGAAGGCGGCCUGCUGGACGGUGACUGACGCUGAGGCUCGAAAGCGCGGGUAGCGAACAGGAUUAGAUACCCUUGUAGUC